ensembl:lncRNA
GGGCCGCUGCGGGGCGCCGCCGUGGUGCGGGCCGGUCCGUGGCCUCCAGCGCCCGGUAGUUGCCUUCCUCGAAGUGCGCUGGGGGAGUGGCACGCGGUCAACCCUUGGCCCCAAAACGGGGGGAGCCGACACAGAGGCACCGGCCUCACGGAAGGGCGACGGGGAGACGCGUGGCAGCGCGGGGAAGAAAGCCGCCGCGGGGGAGGCAGCCGAGGGUCGCUGCUAACGUCCCAGUCCCAGCGUACCUGGCCGGGGACCAAAGGUGAAUGAUUCUAGGUAUUACGUGUGUGAAGAUGAAAAGAAGCUUCAUAGUCAACAGGAAAUGCCAUGCAACCUUCAAAGACAACAAACUGAAUCUCAGAACAUUACUGCAGUGAUGAUGGAAGAGAGUUCAUAGAUAGAUUCAGUAUUUCUUUUUUGUAGUGCAUCUUAAUGUGCAUCUCAGAUGCUGCAUAGAAAAGUUACAGUUAUGCUAACGGGCAAUACAAAAUGCGAUCAAUUUUAAUGCCAUAGCAACACACAUGCAGAAGAGGAGUGGUUUCAUUAAUUAGAGGAGAUAAAAUAAAAUUUGCGGCAUGUGCUCAAAAUCUGGGGAAAAAAAAAUGAAACCAAAACAACACAGAACAAGAACAACGAUCUCAGUUUCACAGAGCUCCCUGGAACACUUAUGAUCACUGAGGAUAACAACUUCAAGCUGCAAAGAUAGAAGAACAACUUCCUUCUAUACAGGCCCUGUUAGGAUUCUCCAGAAGUAUCCUGACGUACUGCCACUCACUGGUAACGAACAACUGGCUUCUGGUAUGCCACAGAGGUGCCA